rnacentral:rRNA from 1 species
CAGAGGCAUAUCUCCUUGCAGCUCUCGCCUAGUUUCCCAUUGAAGUGAAGCAGGGUUGAACCUGGCCAGUACCUGGAUGGGAGACCUCCUGGGGAAGAGGCACUUACCCUGU